UUAUGACAGUAUAUUUAGCAUUUGUUUAGGGAGAAGAAUUUGUGGCCCUACUGGAGAAUGCUGAGCAAGGAGAUGACUCUGAAGCUGUGGGGGAACACUGUGUUCUGGAUUACCUGUCAGUGGGAGCAAGCACCUAUCACUUCAGAAUUACAACAAAGGAGAAAUGGAAGGCUGCCUUCUCUGCUCCCAGGCAUCUGUCCAGGAAACUUAAAGGGUGCUCUGUUUGCUCCAGUGAUGAAAUCUGUUGACUCAGAAGUUUGAUUAAUAUUUAAAGUAAGACAGCACAAUCAUGCUGAUUUAAAAGAAGUGAAUGUA